UACCAUACCAUUGUUCCAUCGCCAUGGAGAUGAUGAGCCGAAAAGCACUGGCAAGAGGCCUCCCAUGCAGGAUGAAGCCAAAGAAGAAGACGGAGAGAAGAGAGGAAGGACACGCCUAUUAACCAGAGGACCCAAAACAUAUCUCAAGGAGCUCAUGAAGUCACCCUCAUGCAUACAGUUUCCCAGGUGUCAGAUCUGUUUGUUUCUCCAGCUGCUGGAGAUGAAGGAGUAAUGAUUUCCCCCUCCCACAAGAAGCUAGAACCUAAGGGGAUAAUGGAUCCAAUUGCUCUUCAAGCUCUCCAGCCUUGUGGAGCUCAAUGUUCAAAAGAAACAAAGAAACAACAACAAUAACCAAAAAAAAAAAAAAAAAAAAAAAACCACCCUUACAUAGAGAAAGUACUCAUCUGAAAACCGAUAAUCACCCAUUUCCACAGAGCUUCAGAGAGGCAGUGGCUGCAGGGAAAGACACAGAGAGGAGAACUAGACUCUCGCCCCACUAUGCCAAAGUGGCCCGUGCCUUCUGGUCUUUUCCUUUCCACUGAUUCUGCUCUUCUGCAGGUAUAAUUAGUAAGGAUGGGGUAAAGCUGGAGUAGGGUGGGUCUUUCAUUCAAUAUAGUGAGUGUCCUUAUAAAAAUAAGGUAUCUGGCUGCAGGGCCACACACUCAAGAAAAACACCACGUGGGGAUGAAGGCAGAGAGCAAGGUGAUACAGCUGAAGCCAAGGACGCUGAAGACUUCCUGCAAACCCCCAGAAGCUGGGGGAGAGGCUCUGCCAGUCUUCAGAAGGAGCCAACCCUGCUGAUACCUUGACCUUGAACUCCUAGCCCCAGAACUAUGAGAAAUAAAUUUCUGUUAUUUAAGCCACUCAGUUGUCUUACUUGGUUGUGGCAGCCCUGAGAGG
rnacentral:lncRNA from 1 species